rnacentral:rRNA from 1 species
CCUACGGGUGGCUGCAGUGGGGAAUUUUGGACAAUGGGCGCAAGCCUGAACCAGCCAUGCCGCGUGCAGGAUGAAGGCCUUCGGGUUGUAAACUGCUUUUGUACGGAACGAAAAGACUCUGGUUAAUACCUGGGGUCCAUGACGGUACCGUAAGAAUAAGCACCGGCUAACUACGUGCCAGCAGCCGCGGUAAUACGUAGGGUGCGAGCGUUAAUCGGAAUUACUGGGCGUAAAGCGUGCGCAGGCGGUUAUGUAAGACAGAUGUGAAAUCCCCGGGCUCAACCUGGGAACUGCAUUUGUGACUGCAUAGCUAGAGUACGGCAGAGGGGGAUGGAAUUCCGCGUGUAGCAGUGAAAUGCGUAGAUAUGCGGAGGAACACCGAUGGCGAAGGCAAUCCCCUGGGCCUGUACUGACGCUCAUGCACGAAAGCGUGGGGAGCAAACAGGAUUAGAUACCCUGGUAGUC